UGCGUCCUGCCAAGAAUCAGCUAAUUGUCUGUGGUAUUGAGUUUUCGCGCAGAGUGAAUCGAAGAGAGUGGCAACGAAGGUGGCAACAACAAGGUAAUUAAAAUAUGAACUGUAUAGCACCAGGCUGUAGGAAUUGGCUCCAAAGAAAUCCCUCGGUAAGCUACCAUCGGCUGCUCAAGGACCCACAACUUUUGAAGAAGUGGCUCCAUGUCCUGUGUCAGCUCGAGCUAGCAGGAUCUGCAGCCAGCACUUCGCGGAGGAAGACUGCGAUGAAGUGCACUUUCGAUGCGGCAGCUGGGAGUUUCCGAAUGGAAAGGAGUCAUAGGCCUACGUUGAAGCUUUCUGCUUCCCCUCAAUUUUAAAUUUCGAAGGUUAUGGUGUAGGGGUUACCAACCGACCAUCAUCAACAUCGCUGACUUCGGUUUCGGAGUCAAACAAAAGCCGAACUAAAAGGAGUCAAUGGAGCCUGAGGAUGACAUCUUCAUCCCUGAAAAUGUUUUCAUCCUGGAGGAGACUGUACAGUAGGAGGCACUAGCAAAUCCAUGUUAUUUCUAAGGCUAUCGUUUAUUUCAAGACACAAUAGGUCAUCCCUGGAUAUAAAAUUGGCAAUAUACAGUAUAUGCAGUGAUUCUUGAAUAGACCUAUAGCCUAAUAGAUGCCUUAAUUGUGGAGAAGAGGUCCACCGGGACCAUCACUAAAGAGCUCGGGGCCCAGCUAGAUUGCGCUCACGACCAUCAGUAUACAACCGAGGCCUGCCCCUAUACACCCCAGAUGGAGCUAACGGAGAGUGAGAUCAAUGAAGACCAGAACUUGCUGUAUGAACCUGAGAGCUCAGAAUCACAGUGCGAGGCAAAAAUAUGCUAUCGAAGAGUGUGUGCAAGAUCUGAAAUACAUAGUCUUUUAUAGCAAGCUGAAGGAGUUGUUCAAUGUCUGCCAUGAGCCAUGAUGUCGAGCUGGUGUCAUCAGUUCAUCCACAAAAAUAAAUGGUUUUGUCAUCACCAUGGAGACAGUGUCGUGGGCCACAGGAGGAAGUGGGAGUCCCAGACCAGAGUGGGAAAGUUGUUUGCGGGGAAUCUGUUGUUGCCAUCAGCGCCCCUCCUUACUGGUGGCUCCCACUCCACUUUUGUGGAAACAUGUCACCUCCUAAGCCUGGUGUACAUGUCGCUGCGACAGUUCGCAAACCAACAGUGCAUCUAGAGGAUAACUACACGUGGACACAGCACAUGGAGGCCAAUCUGGCUACAAUUGUUGACAGUCCAUUUAUCAUAUCUGGAGACGCACGGUGUGAUUCGCCAGGCCAUUGUGGCUCCUUUGGCACUUACACCAUCCUGGACUCUGAUUCCAACCUGAUCCUCGCACAGGAGACUGUGCAUGUGACCGAAGUGAAGAACAGCUACUGGUUGGAGACGGAGGGAUUAGAGAGAUGCCUGCAACACAUUGAGGUACUGCCAUGGGUGAGGGCAUUACUGUGCCGCCACUGCUGGUGGGAGUGUCCAGGUGCUAAAAGAAAAGUGGAUCAUCGCAGUUCACCACAUCACAAAUGAACACACUCAACUGCUGUGAGAACC